UUUCACCGCUGAGUAUGCUUCUAAAUUUGGCAGUGUUUCACCAUGAAGUGUUAUGUGUUGUCAAACGUACUUUCACUUAAAAUAUUAUCAUUUUCACUUUUAGGCGCUCUUUCAAAAAUAUCCAACAGAAUUAUUUAUAUUCUUUCCAACCAUGGAAUAUACUUAGAAAACCAUUAACCGUAAAUAUAUCAGUACCAGAUAUCGGUAAAUAGACACGACGCAUGUUACGAGGGGAAUUGAUCAAAAACAGUGAAAUUAACCAUUUCACCUUAAACUUUACUUAUGCCUAAAUAUAGCAUAGAAAGAAAACAACCAAAGAGCUGAACGUGUCAUUGUGCACGUCCUUCACUAAUUGCCCCUUUAAUGACAGUAUUAAUCAGACUCAUCUUCCGCUUCCUGCACCAGACCUGACAGGAAAAAGUGCGAGUACUUUGUUAAAGUUACUUUGAAAGAGAAGCAGGUGCCGAGCCGUUUCUGCUGCGCUGGUAAAUCUGAGCUCCGGGUUUUGAGGUGCGCUGGGCUGCAAACUGCACGCACCGGUAAGCUUAGCUGGCAACCUGCCGGGAAAAUAUCUGAAGGAGAAAUGUGACGGGCACGCUUGUCAUUCUGCAACGUUUUACAAUUUUAGACCCGACUUUAUAAAUAUUACGAGCAUGAUCCGAAUGGGACUCCCUGCCGGACCCUGAUCGAUCCAAGAUCCAAGGAACUUCCCAGUUCGUUAAGCAAAAGCAGAAUUCCCUGCCAACGGGUCCCCCGAGAUGAAUGAACACGAGCAGUGCUUGGAUGUCGAACUCUCCUGGGAUCCUUCUCUGCCUCCGUCGCCAGGCUCCUGGCUGAAGCGAUGCUUGCUGUAUUUCCGUACCUCCAGAGCCCCGGCGGGGCAGCAGCAGAGCAGGGCUGUCAUGGGGUGUGGCCAGCGUCUCUUACUGAUCAUCAGUGUCCUGCUGUUUGUGUGUGUUGGUGUGCUGCUGCUGCUCUGGAACUAUCAGUGCAUCUUCGUCUGGGGCCUCUGUCGGGAGGAACAGCCUGCCAUCCCCCGGUUUGGAGGGCUGGAGGGCUUUGACAGAGAGGAGGCCAAAUGAGGCGAAGAAUUCUGUCAAGGAGUGGGGGACUUGGGGGGGGGGGGGUGAGAGAUGGGGAUGUCUCCCUCUCACAGGUCAUACCAAAGGGGCUGCCCUGACUGCGUUCACUAUGCAGGCAAAGGGCAGACAGCACGUCUGCGCAGGUGCGGAGGAGAUUGCAAGAGCUUGCAGAACACAAGUCCAGAGCCUCCUGCAGUCUUGACCCCAGCAUGGAGGGCUUCCUACAAGCCACUACGUUCUCAGUGCAAAGCUGUUCGGAAACUAAACGCACUGAUCUAGCCUGUGCUUGUAUCCUGAUUGAUUAUUGGUAAUAAGGGCUCCUUUCUGAUGUAUUUCCUUGACAGAUUUGGUUUCAAAAUGAUUAGGGACCAAAUUAGCCCCCAAAACUCCCUGCCCCCCCUAAACACACAGGGUUCUAUCACGAUAUUGGUAGGGACACAUCUUUACUGUCCAAUACCCAAAUCCGUGCCCUUGGCUGGAUGCAAUAUAUGACUUUGACUUUUGUAGGACUAACUCAGGUUCAGUGAACCUUGUAAUGCCGUCUCAUAGCUCAGAAUUAUAAGACCUGACACCUAAUUCCUCUUCAUCUUAUUUGUGCCUUUCUUGAAAGAUUCGGGAUGUAUUUUAAUGGGCAUUUUUCUGUCAUUUAUGACGCUUGCUGUAGUAGAAUCAUGCGUAAUCAUGCGUUCUGUUGAUCUCAGAAUGAAUUUAGGCACAACAUCUAUUCAUUUUAUAAGAAAGUUAAUAUAUAACCCAGUGUUCAUGCUUAUUGUAGUUUAAUAUUGUAUGUACAAAAUCAAGAAAGUAAUAACUGUAAAACUAGAUAUAUGUUUAUUUCUUAAAGCUGUAAAUGUGUGUGUAUUUAUAAAUCAUGCCUUAUUUACUGCUGUGUUAUGUACUAAGUGACAAAAUCAUUGUAAUACUAUAAUGUGGUGAAGAAUAUUAACCAGAAAAAAUCCAAAUAAAGUCAGCUAAUAGCAUAUAGCUGAA